UACGUAUGGUGCAAGCGUCAUCCGGAUUUACUGGGUGUAAAGGGAGCGCAGGCGGCACGGCAAGCCUGAUGUGAAAGCCCGCGGCCCAACCGCGGGACUGCAUUGGGAACUACCGGGCUGGAGUGCCGGAGAGGUAGGCGGAAUUCCUAGUGUAGCGGUGAAAUGCGUAGAUAUUAGGAGGAACACCAGUGGCGAAGGCGGCCUACUGGACGGUGACUGACGCUGAGGCUCGAAAGCGUGGGGAACAAACAGG
rnacentral:rRNA from 1 species